rnacentral:rRNA from 1 species
UGCCUUGGCGCAUGCAGGCGAUGAAGGACGUAAUACGCUGCGAUAAGCCCCGGGGAGCUGCGAAUAAGCUUUGAUCCGAGGAUUUCCGAAUGGGGAAACCCGACCAUUUAGGUCACCCGCAAGGGAGCUAACCCAGGGAACUGAAACAUCUAAGUACCUGGAGGAAAGGACAUCAAAAGAGACUCCGUUAGUAGUGGCGAGCGAACGCGGACCAGGCCAGUGGCCUGUGAGUAAGAACGGGAAGGACUUGGAAAAGUCCGCCAUAGUGGGUGAUAGCCCCGUACCGGUAGAAAGCUCAUAGGUCCUCGAGUAAGGCGGAACACGUGAAAUUCUGUCUGAACAUGGGUAGACCACUAUCCAAGCCUAAGUACUCGUGCACGACCGAUAGCGAACUAGUACCGUGAGGGAAAGGUGAAAAGCACCCCGACGAGGGGAGUGAAACAGUUCCUGAAACUGGAUGCAUACAAACAGUCGGAGCCCAAGAUGUGUUCUGGGUGACGGCGUACCUCUUGUAUAAUGGGUCAUCGACUUAGUCUGUCUAGCAAGCUUAAGCCGUUAGGUGUAGGCGCAGCGAAAGCGAGUCUGAAUAGGGCGUUAAGUUAGACGGAUUAGACCCGAAACCGAGUGAUCUAGGUAUGAGCAGGCUGAAGGUAAGGUAACACUUACUGGAGGGCCGAACCCACGUCUGUUGAAAAAGACGGGGAUGACUUGUUCCUAGGGGUGAAAGGCCAAUCAAACUCGGAAAUAGCUGGUUCUCCGCGAAAGAUAUUUAGGUAUCGCCUCAGACGAAUACCUCGGGGGGUAGAGCACUGGAUGGGCUAGGGGGUCUCACCGACUUACCAAACCUAACCAAACUCCGAAUACCCGAGAGUACUAUCUGGGAGACAGACGGUGGGUGCUAACGUCCAUCGUCAAAAGGGAAACAACCCUAACCUACAGCUAAGGUCCCCAAGUCAUAGUUAAGUGGGAAAGCAUGUGGGAUUACUCAGACAACCAGGAGGUUGGCUUAGAAGCAGCCAUCCUUUAAAGAUAGCGUAACAGCUCACUGGUCAAGUG